UUUUCAGUGUCGCAGCGAAAGCGAUAAACACACCGCCUGGGGAGUACGACCGCAAGGUUAAAACUCAAAUGAAUUGACGGGGACCCGCACAAGUAGUGGAGCAUGUGGUUUAAUUCGAAGAUACGCGCAGAACCUUACCAACACUUGACAUGUUCGUCGCGACUCUAAGAGAUUAGAGUUUUCGGUUCGGCCGGACGAAACACAGGUGCUGCAUGGCUGUCGUCAGCUCGUGUCGUGAGAUGUUGGGUUAAGUCCCGCAACGAGCGCAACCCUCACUUUUAGUUGCCAUCAUUUAGUUGGGCACUCUGAAAGAACUGCCAGUGAUAAGCUGGAGGAAGGUGGGGAUGACGUCAAGUCCUCAUGGCCCUUACGUGUUGGGCUACACACGUGCUACAAUGGCAUUUACAAUAGGAAGCAAGAUGGCGACAUCAAGCAAAUCCUAAAAAGAUGCCUCAGUUCGGAUUGUACUCUGCAACUCGAGUACAUGAAGCUGGAAUUACUAGUAAUCGCGGAUCAGCGCGCCGCGGUGAAUACGUUCCCGGGUCUUGUACACACCGCCCGUCACACCAUGGGAGUUGGUUCUACCUUAAGGCAAGGUUUAAAACCCUUGACUACGGUAUAGUCAGCGACUGGGGUGAAGUCGUAACAAGGUAGCCGUAGGGGAACCUGCGGCUGGAUUACCUCCUU
rnacentral:rRNA from 1 species